rnacentral:rRNA from 1 species
UCUGCCCCGGGUGCGUCGCAGCCCCGGACCAAGGCGCCCGCCGGAGGACCAACUCCAAAACUCUUUUGUAUACCCCCUCGCGGGUUUUUUAAUAUCUGAGCCAUCUCGGCGCCUCUCGUAGGCGUUUCGAAAAUGAAUCAAAACUUUCAACAACGGAUCUCUUGGUUCUGGCAUCGAUGAAGAACGCAGCGAAAUGCGAUAAGUAAUGUGAAUUGCAGAAUUCAGUGAAUCAUCGAAUCUUUGAACGCACAUUGCGCCCGCCAGUAUUCUGGCGGGCAUGCCUGUCCGAGCGUCAUUUCAACCCUCGAACCCCUCCGGGGGGUCGGCGUUGGGGAUCGGCCCUUUCACGGGGGCCGGCCCCGAAAUACAGUGGCGGUCUCGCCGCAGCCUCUCCUGCGCAGUAGUUUGCACACUCGCAUCGGGAGCGCGGCGCGUCCAAUGCCGUAAAACACCCAACUUUCUGAAAUGUUGACCUCGGAUCAGGUAGGAAUACCCGCUGAACUUAAGCAUAUCAAAGNCGGGAAGGAAGGGUUACCGAGUUUACA